AGACAGCAGUCGCCACGGUAAUACAGAGGGUGCAAGCGUUAAUCGGAAUUACUGGGCGUAAAGGGCGCGUAGGUGGUUGCGUAAGUGAGAUGUGAAAUCCCCGGGCUUAACCUGGGACGUGCAUCUUAUACUGGGUAACUGGAGUGCAGUAGAGGGUAGUGGAAUUUCCGGUGUAGCGGUGAAAUGCGUAGAUAUCGGAAGGAACACCAGUGGCGAAGGCGGCUACCUGGACUGAGACUGACACUGAGGCGCGAGAGCGUGGGGAGCAAACAGGAUUAGAUACCCCAGUAGUCCCUGUCUCUUAUAC
rnacentral:rRNA from 1 species